UAACGAAUCUUCCGCAAUGCACGAAAGUGUGACGGAGCGACGCCGCGUGGAGGACGAAGUUCUUCGGAAUGUAAACUCCUGUCAGGGGAAAGAAAGUUCUGAUCUACCCCAGAGGAAGAGGCGGCUAACUCUGUGCCAGCAGCCGCGGUAAUACAGAGGCCUCGAGCGUUAGACGGAAUCACUGGGCUUAAAGCGUGUGUAGGCGGAAGGGUAAGUACCUUGUGAAAUCCCACGGCUUAACCGUGGAACGGCUUGGUAUACUGCUUUUCUUGAGCAAUCUAGGGGCGAGUGGAACAGAUGGUGGAGCGGUGAAAUGCGUAGAUAUCAUCUGGAACGCCAAUGGUGAAGACAACUCGCUGGGGAUUUGCUGACGCUGAGACACGAAAGCCAGGGGAGCGAACGGGAUUAGAUACCCGGGUAGUCCCUGAGCGGGCUGGCAAGGCGCAU
rnacentral:rRNA from 1 species